UCAUCAGGGAAACAGGAACAAAGAUACCUCCUGUGAGAUGUACAGCAUCUGACCCAGAGUAGAAGGUGAUGAUGAUGAUGAAGAAGAUGAUAGCUCAGCCCUCAGGGAGCAUGGCUGAGAGGCCAGGCGUGCUUUACGCACUUCAUAUUCAUUGAUCCUCUUAAUCUUCUUGGCAACCCUAGGAGGUGGGGACUACUAUUCUUUUUCUUUACAGACGAGGAAACUGAGGCACAGUGAGGUUAAGUGACUCCUGGCAGGAUGUACAGCCAGUGAAUGACAGGGCUGAGAAUUGGACCCAGGCUGUCUCGCUUCAUAGCCCCCCACCCU
rnacentral:lncRNA from 1 species